rnacentral:rRNA from 1 species
AGCAGCCGCGGUAAUUCCAGCUCCAAUAGCGUAUAUUAAAGUUGUUGCAGUUAAAAAGCUCGUAGUUGAAUUUCGGGAUUAGUACGUUGGUCGUGCCUUAGGUACGUACUGGUGUUACUGGUUCCUACCUUCUGACGAACCAUCAUGUCAUUAAUUUGGUGUGGCGGGGAAUCAGGACUGUUACUUUGAAAAAAUUAGAGUGUUUAAAGCAGGCUCGCGCUUGAAUACAUUAGCAUGGAAUAAUGAAAUAGGACGUUGACCCUAUUUUGUUGGUUUCUAGGAUUGACGUAAUGAUUAAUAGGGAUAGUUGGGGGCAUUAGUAUUCAAUUGUCAGAGGUGAAAUUCUUGGAUUUAUUGAAGACUAACUACUGCGAAAGCAUUUUGCCAAGGAUGUUUUCAUUAAUCMAGAACGAAAGUUAGGGGAUCGAAGACGAUCAGAUACCGUCGUAGUCUUAACCAUAAACUAUGCCGACUAGGGAUCGGAUGAUGUUAAUUUUUUAAUGACUCA